UACGUAGGGUGCAAGCGUUAAUCGGAAUUACUGGGCGUAAAGCGUGCGCAGGCGGCUAUGCAAGACAGAUGUGAAAUCCCCGGGCUCAACCUGGGAACUGCAUUUGUGACUGCAUAGCUAGAGUACGGUAGAGGGGAUGGAAUUCCGCGUGUAGCAGUGAAAUGCGUAGAUAUGCGGAGGAACACCGAUGGCGGAAGGCAAUCCCCUGGACCUGUACUGACGCUCAUGCACGAAA
rnacentral:rRNA from 1 species